GACGAACGCUGGCGGCGUGCUUAACACAUGCAAGUCGAACGGAAAGGCCCUGCUUUUGUGGGGUGCUCGAGUGGCGAACGGGUGAGUAACACGUGAGUAACCUGCCCUUGACUUUGGGAUAACUUCAGGAAACUGGGGCUAAUACCGGAUAGGAGCUCCUGCUGCAUGGUGGGGGUUGGAAAGUUUCGGCGGUUGGGGAUGGACUCGCGGCUUAUCAGCUUGUUGGUGGGGUAGUGGCUUACCAAGGCUUUGACGGGUAGCCGGCCUGGGAGGGUGACCGGCCACAUUGGGACUGAGAUGCGGCCCAGACUCCUACGGGAGGCAGCAGUGGGGAAUAUUGCACAAUGGGCGGAAGCCUGAUGCAGCAACGCCGCGUGCGGGAUGACGGCCUUCGGGUUGGAAACCGCUUUCGCCUGUGACGAAGCGUGAGUGACGGUAAUGGGUAAAGAAGCACCGGCUAACUACGUG
rnacentral:rRNA from 1 species